AUUGAACGCUAGCGGGAUGCCUUACACAUGCAAGUCGAACGGAGUGGCGAACGGGCGAGUAAUGAAUGUGUACGGGCCUAGUCGCUGGGGAUAACUAACCGCAAGCAUCGGUAACACAGCACGUGAUCGGUCCGGUCGAUCUCGGAUUAGCUAGUUGGUGGGUUAAGGGCUCACCAAGGUGACGAUCCGUAGCUGGUUUGAGAGGACGACCAGCCACACUGGGACUGAGACACGGCCCAGACUCCUACGGGAGGCAGCAGUGGGGAAUGUUGGACAAUGGGGGAAACCCUGAUCCAGCCAUGCCGCGUGUGCGAUGAAGGCCUUCGGGUUGUAAAGCACUUUUGGCAGGAAGGCGGUACCUGCAGAAGAAGCACCGGCUAACUACGUGCCAGCAGCCGCGGUAAUUC
rnacentral:rRNA from 1 species